AACGUAGGACGCGAGCGUUAUCCGGAGUUACUGGGCGUAAAGGGUGGGCAGGCGGCCGUGUCAGAUGGGUGUGAAAUCUCCCGGCUCAACCGGGAGGGGCCACCCGUGACUGCACGGCUGGAGGGCAGCAGAGGCGCGUGGAAUUCCGGGUGGAGUGGUGAAAUGCGUAGAGAUCCGGAGGAACACCAGAGGCGAAGGCGGCGCGCUGGGCUGCACCUGACGCUGAACCACGAAAGCCAGGGUAGCGAACGGG
rnacentral:rRNA from 1 species